rnacentral:SRP_RNA from 1 species
AGCCGGGUCCCGUGCAACGGAGGCGUGUGAACCCCGUCAGGUCCGGAAGGAAGCAGCGGUAGCAAUGACCUCCGGGUGCUGCGGAGAAACCUGGCUAUC